rnacentral:rRNA from 1 species
AGAUUGAACGCUGGCGGCAGGCCUAACACAUGCAUGUCGAGCGGUAGAGAGGUGCUUGCAUCUCUUGAGAGCGGCGGACGGGCGAGUAAUGCCUAGGAAUCUGCCUAGUGGUGGGGGAUAACGUUCGGAAACGGACGCUAAUACCGCAUACGUCCUACGGGAGAAAGCGGGGGACCUUCGGGCCUCGCGCCAUUAGAUGAGCCUAGGUCGGAUUAGCUAGUUGGUGA